rnacentral:pre_miRNA from 1 species
AAUAAAUGCAGCCGUGGAUAUCCGUGUCCAACGUUUGACUGUCCGUCUUAUUUAAAAAAUUUAUGAAAAAAUUUAAAAAAUUUAGUCAUACAUAAAGCACUAUUCAUGUUUUAUCAUCUAAUAGCAAUAAAAAUACUAAUCAUAAAAAAAAUUCAAAUAAGACGAAUGGUCAAACGUUGAAUGUGAAUAGUGUAAAACUAUACUUAUU